rnacentral:rRNA from 1 species
ACGAACGCUGGCGGCGUGCCUAAUACAUGCAAGUAGAACGCUGAAGAGAGGAGCUUGCUCUUCUUGGAUGAGUUGCGAACGGGUGAGUAACGCGUAGGUAACCUGCCUUGUAGCGGGGGAUAACUAUUGGAAACGAUAGCUAAUACCGCAUAACAAUGGAUGACACAUGUCAUUUAUUUGAAAGGGGCAAUUGCUCCACUACAAGAUGGACCUGCGUUGUAUUAGCUAGUAGGUGAGGUAAUGGCUCACCUAGGCGACGAUACAUAGCCGACCUGAGAGGGUGAUCGGCCACACUGGGACUGAGACACGGCCCAGACUCCUACGGGAGGCAGCAGUAGGGAAUCUUCGGCAAUGGGGGCAACCCUGACCGAGCAACGCCGCGUGAGUGAAGAAGGUGUUCGGAUCGUAAAGCUCUGUUGUAAGUCAAGAACGGGUGUGAGAGUGGAAAGUUCACACUGUGACGGUAGCUUACCAGAAAGGGACGGCUAACUACGU